GUUAAGCGACUAAGCGUACACGGUGGAUGCCCUGGCAGUCAGAGGCGAUGAAGGACGUGCUAAUCUGCGAUAAGCGUCGGUAAGGUGAUAUGAACCGUUAUAACCGGCGAUUUCCGAAUGGGGAAACCCAGUGUGUUUCGACACACUAUCAUUAACUGAAUCCAUAGGUUAAUGAGGCGAACCGGGGGAACUGAAACAUCUAAGUACCCCGAGGAAAAGAAAUCAACCGAGAUUCCCCCAGUAGCGGCGAGCGAACGGGGAGCAGCCCAGAGCCUGAAUCAGUGUGUGUGUUAGUGGAAGCGUCUGGAAAGGCGCGCGAUACAGGGUGACAGCCCCGUACACAAAAAUGCACAUGCUGUGAGCUCGAUGAGUAGGGCGGGACACGUGGUAUCCUGUCUGAAUAUGGGGGGACCAUCCUCCAAGGCUAAAUACUCCUGACUGACCGAUAGUGAACCAGUACCGUGAGGGAAAGGCGAAAAGAACCCCGGCGAGGGGAGUGAAAAAGAACCUGAAACCGUGUACGUACAAGCAGUGGGAGCACGCUUAGGCGUGUGACUGCGUACCUUUUGUAUAAUGGGUCAGCGACUUAUAUUCUGUAGCAAGGUUAACCGAAUAGGGGAGCCGAAGGGAAACCGAGUCUUAACUGGGCGUUAAGUUGCAGGGUAUAGACCCGAAACCCGGUGAUCUAGCCAUGGGCAGGUUGAAGGUUGGGUAACACUAACUGGAGGACCGAACCGACUAAUGUUGAAAAAUUAGCGGAUGACUUGUGGCUGGGGGUGAAAGGCCAAUCAAACCGGGAGAUAGCUGGUUCUCCCCGAAAGCUAUUUAGGUAGCGCCUCGUGAAUUCAUCUCCGGGGGUAGAGCACUGUUUCGGCAAGGGGGUCAUCCCGACUUACCAACCCGAUGCAAACUGCGAAUACCGGAGAAUGUUAUCACGGGAGACACACGGCGGGUGCUAACGUCCGUCGUGAAGAGGGAAACAACCCAGACCGCCAGCUAAGGUCCCAAAGUCAUGGUUAAGUGGGAAACGAUGUGGGAAGGCCCAGACAGCCAGGAUGUUGGCUUAGAAGCAGCCAUCAUUUAAAGAAAGCGUAAUAGCUCACUGGUCGAGUCGGCCUGCGCGGAAGAUGUAACGGGGCUAAACCAUGCACCGAAGCUGCGGCAGCGACGCUUAUGCGUUGUUGGGUAGGGGAGCGUUCUGUAAGCCUGCGAAGGUGUGCUGUGAGGCAUGCUGGAGGUAUCAGAAGUGCGAAUGCUGACAUAAGUAACGAUAAAGCGGGUGAAAAGCCCGCUCGCCGGAAGACCAAGGGUUCCUGUCCAACGUUAAUCGGGGCAGGGUGAGUCGACCCCUAAGGCGAGGCCGAAAGGCGUAGUCGAUGGGAAACAGGUUAAUAUUCCUGUACUUGGUGUUACUGCGAAGGGGGGACGGAGAAGGCUAUGUUGGCCGGGCGACGGUUGUCCCGGUUUAAGCGUGUAGGCUGGUUUUCCAGGCAAAUCCGGAAAAUCAAGGCUGAGGCGUGAUGACGAGGUACUACGGUGCUGAAGCA
rnacentral:rRNA from 1 species